ensembl:lncRNA
GGGGGGGAAUCAGCCCCAAAUUGGGGGAAACAGGGGGAAUUAGGGGGGAAAUCAGCCCCAAAUUGGGGGAAAUGUGGCAAAAAUGGGGCAAAAAUGGGGAGAAAUGGGGGGAAAUCAGCCCGAAAUUGGGGGAAAUGGGGGGAAAUGGGGGGAAAUCAGCCCCAAAUGGGGGGAAAUGGGGAGAAAUGGGCGGAAAUCAGCCCCAAAUUGGGGGAAAUGGGGGGAAAUCAGCCCCAAAUUGGGGGAAAUGGGGCAAAAAAUGGGGGAAAUGGGCCUCAAAAGUGGGAAAUUCAACCCCAAAUUGACCCAAAUGAGAAGAAAUUAGGAAGAAAUUGGGGGAAAUGGGGCACAAACGGGGAAAAUCCGCCCCAAAUUGAAGGAAAUGAGCCCAAAAUGGGGGAAAUCGGCCCCAAGGUGGGGGAAAUGGGGCAAAAAUGGGGGAAAUGGGGCAAAAAUGGGGGAAAUGGGGGAAGUGGGGCAAAAAUGGGGGAAGUGGGGAAAAAAUGGGGAGAAUUCAGCCCCAAAUGGACCCAAAUUGGGGGAAAUGGGGCAAAAAUGGGGGAAAUCAGCCCCAAAUGGACCCAAAAAGGGGGAAAUUGGGAACAAAUGGGGGGAAAUGGGGCAAAAAUGGGGGAAAUGGGGCAAAAAUGGGGGAAAUGGGGCAAAAAUGGGAAGAAUUCAGCCCCAAAUUGGGGGAAAUUGCGAAGAAAUGGGGGGAAAUGGGGCAAAAAUGGGGGAAAUCAGCCCCAAAUUUGGGGGAAAUGGGGCAAAAAUGGCCCCCAGUUGGCCCAAAUCUAUGGGGCACCCCACACAUCUAUGGGUCACACCCCAGAUCUAUGGGUCACCCCAGACCCCAAUCUAUGGGUCCCCCCACAUCUAUGGGUCACCCUCACCCCCCAGAUCCCAAUCUAUGGGUCACCCCACACCCUAUGGGUCACCCUCACCCCCCAGACCCCAAUCUAUGGGUCACCCCACAUCUAUGGGUCACCCCCCACCCAAUCUAUGGGUCACACCCCCCCCCCCAAGACCCCGAUCUAUGGGUCACCCCCCCCCCCACAGAUCCCCCCCCCACUUGUGGGGCUCACCAGCUCCGGGUGUCAGCGUGGGGCCGGGCACCCACUGGUGGCAGCCCAGGUGGUAGAAGAAAAUCCCGUCCCCGUAGCACCGCUCCUGCUGGUAGUGCUGGUGGACGCUGCCCCCUGCGCCCCACAAGUGUGGGGUGGGGUGGGAACGUGUGGGGCGGGGGCACAACGGGGGGGGUGGGAGCCCAAACGAUGGGGCUGGGACCCCAAAGUGGGGGCUGGGAACCCAGAGGUGGGGUGGGGGCACAAAGUGGGGGUGGGAUCCAAAUUAUGGGGCUGGGACCCACAUCUGUGGGGCCGGGAGCCCAAUCUAUGGGGCUGGGACCCACAUUUAUGGGGCUGGGACCCCAAAGUGGGGGCUGGGAGCCCAGAGUGGGGGGUGGGAGCACAAAGUGGGGGGUGGGACCCACAUCUAUGGGGCUGGGAGCCCAAAGUGGGGGGUGGGACCCAAACUAUGGGGCUGGGACCCACAUCUAUGGGGCUGGGAACCCAGAGGUGGGGUGGGGGCACAACAUGGGGGGUGGGAGCCAAUCUAUGGGGCUGGGAGGCCAAAAUGGGGGAUGGGAUCCAAACUAUGGGGCUGGGAGCCCAGAGUGGGGGGUGGGACCCACAUCUAUGGGGCUGGGAGCCCAGAGUGGGGGGUGGGACCCACAUCUAUGGGGCUGGGACCCACAUCUAUGGGGCUGGGACCCCAAAGUGGGGGCUGGGAACCCAGAGGUGGGGUGGGGGCACAACGUGGGGGGUGGGAUCCAAAUUAUGGGGCUGGGACCCACAUCUAUGGGGCUGGAAGCCCAAUCUAUGGGGCUGGGACCCACAUCUAUGGGGCUGGGACCCCAAAGUGGGGGCUGGGAGCCCAGAGUGGGGGGUGGGACCCACAUCUAUGGGGCUGGGAGCCCAGAGUGGGGGGUGGGAGCACAAAGUGGGGGCUGGGAGCCAAUCUAUGGGGCUGGGAGCCCAAAGUGGGGGGUGGGACCCAAACUAUGGGGCUGGGAGCCCAGAGUGGGGGGUGGGAGCCCAAAGUGCGGGCUGGGACCCACAUCUAUGGGGCUGGGACCCCAAUCUAUGGGGCUGGGAGCCCAGAGGUGGGGUGGGGGCACAACGUGGGGGGUGGGACCCAAUCUAUGGGGCUGGGAGCCAAUCUAUGGGGCUGGGACCCCAAAGUGGGGGGUGGGACCCACAUCUAUGGGGCUGGGACCCCAAAGUGGGGGGGGGGGAAGGGACCCCAAAGUGGAGGGUGGGACCCACAUCUAUGGGGCUGGGAGCCCAAUCUAUGGGGCUGGGACCCACAUCUAUGGGGCUGGGACCCCAAAGUGGGGGCUGGGAGCCCAGAGUGGGGGAUGGGAUCCACAUCUAUGGGGCUGGGACUCCAAUCUAUGGGGCUGGGAACCCAGAGGUGGGGUGGGAGCACAAAGUGGGGGCUGGGACCCACAUCUAUGGGGCUGGGACCCCAAAGUGGGGGCUGGGAACCCAGAGGUGGGGUGGGGGCACAACGUGGGGGAUGGGAGCCAAUCUAUGGGGCUGGGAGCCCAAAGUGGGGGCUGGGACCCACAUCUAUGGGGCAGGAUCCCACAUCUAUGCGGCAGGGACCCCCACCUAUGGGGCAGAGUCCCACCCGACGGCUCUGUGCCCCACAUCUAUGGGGCAGGGACCCCCAUCUAUGGGGCUGGGACCCACAUCUAUGGGGCAGGAUCCCACCCAAUGGCUCUGUGCCUCCAUCUAUGGGGCAGGAUCCCCACAUCUAUGGGGCAGAUUCCCACCCAAUGGCUCUGUGCCCCACAUCUAUGGGGCAGGAUCCCCAGCUAUGGGGCAGGACCCCCACUUAUGGGGCAGGACCCCCACCUAUGGGGCAGGACCCCCACUUGUGGGGCAGGGACCCCCAUCUAUGGGGCAGACCCCCACUUAUGGGGCAGGACCCCCACUUGUGGGACAGGGACCCCCAUCUAUGGGGCAGACCCCCACUUAUGGGGCAGGACCCCCAUCUACGAGCCUGGAACCCCCACUUAUGGGGCAGGCCCCCCACUUAUGGGGCAGGACCCCCAUCUAUGGGGCAGGAUCCCACAUCUAUGAACCUGGGACCCCCAUCUAUGGGGCAGACCCCCACUUAUGGGGCAGGACCCCCACGUGUGGGGCGGCCGUACCGAACAGCACCAUGUAGCGGCCGAUGCGUUCGGCGCUGUGGAAGCCGGUAGGGGGCGCCGCUCCGGAAGCGCCGUCCCGGAAGCGCAGGGAGCUCCAAUGGCGCCGGGUCACGUGGUACAGAUCCGUGCUGUUCGUGCGGGAGCUGAACCUGAAGGGCGGCACGGCGCACAGCACGCAGGGUCACGUGGGGACCAUAGAGACACCAUAGAGAGCGUAGGAGGGCCAGAGAGCGGACAUAGAGCGGCCACAGGGAUACGUGGGGACCAUAGAGAGGACGUAGAGUGGUCGUAGAGUGGCCAUAGGGAGGCCAUAGGGAUACACGGAGACCAUAGAGAGCGUAGGAGGGCCAGAGAGGGGACAUAGAGCGGCCAUAGGGAUACGUGGGGACCAUAGAGAGGAUAUGGAGUGGCCAUAGAAGGGCCAUAGAGGGGCCACAGGGAUACGUGGGGACCAUAGAGAGGACAUAGAGAGCCAUAAGGAGGACACAGACAGCAUAGAGAGGCCAUAGAGAGGCCAUAAGAAUACAUGGAGACCAUAGAGAGGACAUAGAGUGCCCAUAGAGUGCCAUAGAGAGACCAUAGGGAUACAUGGAGGCCAUAGAGAGGACAUAGAGAGCAUGGAGAGACCAUAGAGUGGCCAUAGGGAGGCCAUAGGGAUACAUGGAGACCAUAGAGAGCGUAGGAGGGCCAGAGAGCGGACAUAGAGCGGCCACAGGGAUACGUGGGGACCAUAGAGAGGACAUAGAGAGACGAUAGAGGGGCCUUAGGGAUACGUGGAGACCAUAGAGAGGCACAGAGAGGCCAUAGAGACCCCAUAGCGACCCACAGAGACCCCAUCAGUCAGUCCCCCAGCUCCCCAAGUUUCCCCCCAGCCCCACAACUCAGCCCCAAAACCCCCCAGCCCCAUAACUCAGUCCCAAACGCCCCCUCCAACCCUAUAAUCCAGCCCCAC